AAGAUGUAGACCCUGGGGUCUUGUUUCCUGGUGGGGUUUGUGUAGUAAAGUUGGUUGUAGCUGUUCUGAAGAGUGUCAGCUCGGCUUAGUCACCUGGGACAGCAUUCAUCUCGCAGCCUUGCGGAUGCCUGUGCCUGCUCUGGCUUCUUUAUCGUGGAGAAAAACAGGGAGAUGAAAGGUAUGACUCAGCUGACCCAUUUUAGGUGCGUGCGUGAGGACGCUGUGGCUCGUCUUCUAGAAAGGCUCCUUUCUCUCCGUGACUUCAGAGGUGGGUGAACUCGGGCGAGAUGAAUUGGUAUCGUGAGAGACAGCCUGCAGCCUCCGGCGUACGGGCUGCGGGAGCUGAUACACAGAACAGUCUGAAUUGUAAAGGCGUGGGGUCUGUGCGGUGCCAGGUGUUUGGCACUCUUGAAACAACAAUUGCGUGCGUGGAGCCCAUUAUGAGUCUCGGGGCUUAAGGGACUUCUCUGUAGUCUCUGCAUGACUUUCUGCACGGGGCGUUGUUAGUGAUCGAUAUUAAAUAUAAAUCUCCAGCUGCACUCGGAGAGAGAGCACAAGCAUAAAGGCAGUAACAAGGAGCAGCGCUGUGCUGUUCGAAUCCAGUCAUGUUUAGAGGACAAAUGGAAGGAUAAUGCGUUACAAAUUAGGGAAGGGAAAAAUAAAAGAGGGAGAUGGUAUUUAAGUACGCAAACCGCAUGUGCUUUAUGUGACAGGACGCCACUAAGCUUAAUAGCAAUGUGAGCUUUAUGCUUCAUGCACGGAGAUUCAUUGAUUUAAUAUUUCGCUUUAUUAUUAUUGUGAUGAAUAAAUCCUUCUGCUCACAUUUAAAAACCCUUAUGGUCCGGGGACAAUGAGGAGAGAAAAUUGCUUGGAUAAUUGCGAAAUAAUCUUUCACAUUAGUCCCGUUGAAUGCUUGAGUUCUGUAAAGUCUUCGUUUUGUGUCUGCUUCAAAACCGUGCACUCCUCCGGAGCUGAAGAGUUGGGAAUGCUUCUCUUUGGAGCCACUAAUGGGUGUUAUUUGUGCAAGAAAAAUAUGUUUCUGUUGAUGGACGCUAAUGCCUUUUUUCCUCCGGUCUCUUUUGUACGUCUAUUGUGUUGGGGUCCCGCUUGUUUUUUGGGGACUUUGACACUCACAAGCCUUUCACACACACAGUUUUUCUACAUGCCAUGCUUUAGCAGAGCCUCGGGCUCUCAGGAUCCCCUGUUUGAGCCCUAACCCGUUGCAGCCUCCAGGCAUCCAUCUCGCAACGUGCUCGUCCACCUCUAGACCGGCUGGUUAGAUCAUGCCGGGGGCCUGUAAGUAUUUCUCUAUACGGUGCCCCCUGGUUUGGCAUGACAACGGUGGGAAAACUUGCCUCGGCUUCAUCCAACGGUGACACGUCCUAAAAGCCACCGCAGCAAGGACCUGGGGAGCAGAGCGGAGACGCGGGGUGCCGCAGGCAGUGGUAAGAAACAGCCCCUUCAGCUGCUGCUGCUGCUGAAAGCAACUACAAAGCUGUGGGUUUCAUCUCCUCACAGGGAAAAAAAAAAAAAGCUUCUUUUGAUGGGGAAUAUCCAAUUCUCUCAGAUCUUCAAGCGGUGCUGCAUCCUUGUGUAGCAAAUAUUCUCUGUAACGUCCCUGCAGCCGGCCAGAGUGCGGGCUGCUUGGCGCAUCCCAAGUCCCACCGAGGUGCUCCUGGAGCUGGU